rnacentral:rRNA from 1 species
CCCUAUGGACAGGAAUACUCUCGGGAAACUGAGGUUAAUUCCUGAUACAGCUUCCAUGUUGGAACUGCAGGAAGCUGGAAACGUUCCGACGCCAUAGGAUGUGGCUGCGGCCGAUUAGGUAGACGGUGGGGUAACGGCCCACCGUGCCAGUAAUCGGUACGGGUCGUGAGAGCGAGAGCCCGGAGACGGUAUCUGAGACAAGAUGCCGGGCCCUACGGGGCGCAGCAGGCGCGAAACCUUUACACUGCACGACAGUGCGAUAGGGGGACUCCAAGUGCGAGGGCAUAUAGUCCUCGCUUUUGUACACCGUAAGGUGGUGUACGAAUAAGAACUGGGCAAGACCGGUGCCAGCCGCCGCGGUAAUACCGGCAGUUCGAGUGAUGGCCGAUCUUAUUGGGCCUAAAGCGUUCGUAGCUGGCCAGUCAAGUCUGUCGGGAAAUCUGCUCGCUCAACGAGCAGCCGUCCGGCGGAAACCGAUUGGCUUGGGACCGGAAGACCCGAGAAGUACGUCCGGGGUAGGAGUGAAAUCCCGUAAUCCUGGACGGACUACCGAUGGCGAAAGCAUCUCGGGAACACGGAUCCGACAGUGAGGAACGAAAGCUGGGGUCUCGAACCGGAUUAGAUACCCGGGUAGUCCCAGCCGUAAACGAUGUCUGCUAGGUAUGGCACAGGCUACGAGCCUGUGCUAUGCCACAGCGAAGGCGCUAAGCAGACCGCCUGGGAAGUACGUUCGCAAGAAUGAAAC